UACGUAGGGUGCGAGCGUUAAUCGGAAUACUGGGCGUAAAGCGUGACGCAGGCGGUGAUGUAAGACAGGUGUGAAAUCCCCGGGCUUAACCUGGGAACUGCAUUUGUGACUGCAUUGCUGGAGUGCGGCAGAGAGGGAUGGAAUUCCGCGUGUAGCAGUGAAAUGCGUAGAUAUGCGGAGGAACACCAGUGGCGAAGGCGGCGACCUGGACGGACACUGACGCUGAGACGCGAAAGCGUGGGGAGCAACAGG
rnacentral:rRNA from 1 species